UGGCGGCGGCUCCGUCAGCGCUCUCUGUCCUUCCCCACAGGGCUGAUGGCGGCCGUGACGUUGGACGAGUCCGGGGGCGGCCUCCAGACGCCCGGAGGAGCGCUCAGCCUCGUCUGCAAGGCCUCCGGGUUCACCUUCAGUGACCGUGGCAUGGGUUGGGUGCGACAGGUGCCCGGCAAGGGGCUGGAAUACGUCGCGAGUAUUAGCAGUGGUAGUGGUAGUAGCACAGGAUACGGGGCAGUGGUGAAGGGCCGUGCCACCAUCUCGAGGGACAACGGGCAGAGCACAGUGAGGCUGCAGCUGAACAACCUCAGGGCUGAGGACACCGGCACCUACUACUGCGCCAGAAGUCACAACAGGAAUGGCAUCGAUCACCCUGCUCGGAUCUAUGGCUCUGCCGCCGUCCUGGCCUCACCCAGAGACCAAAGUUACCCAAGAAAGGCCUUUGUGGUGAACUGA